AUCGCUUCUCGGCCUUUUGGCUAAGAUCAAGUGUAUUAUACUACAUAAGACCCAGUAUUAUACUAUAUUACAUUAUGUUAUAUUAUAUAUUAUAGACCCAGU
rnacentral:snRNA from 1 species